rnacentral:rRNA from 1 species
GUACACAAAAAUGCACAUAUUGUGAGCUCGAUGAGUAGGGCGGGACACGUGGUAUCCUGUCUGAAUAUGGGGGGACCAUCCUCCAAGGCUAAAUACUCCUGACUGACCGAUAGUGAACCAGUACCGUGAGGGAAAGGCGAAAAGAACCCCGGCGAGGGGAGUGAAAAAGAACCUGAAACCGUGUACGUACAAGCAGUGGGAGCCUCUUAAUGGGGUGACUGCGUACCUUUUGUAUAAUGGGUCAGCGACUUAUAUUCUGUAGCAAGGUUAACCGAAUAGGGGAGCCGAAGGGAAACCGAGUCUUAACUGGGCGUUAAGUUGCAGGGUAUAGACCCGAAACCCGGUGAUCUAGCCAUGGGCAGGUUGAAGGUUGGGUAACACUAACUGGAGGACCGAACCGACUAAUGUUGAAAAAUUAGCGGAUGACUUGUGGCUGGGGGUGAAAGGCCAAUCAAACCGGGAGAUAGCUGGUUCUCCCCGAAAGCUAUUUAGGUAGCGCCUCGUGAAUUCAUCUCCGGGGGUAGAGCACUGUUUCGGCAAGGGGGUCAUCCCGACUUACCAACCCGAUGCAAACUGCGAAUACCGGAGAAUGUUAUCACGGGAGACACACGGCGGGUGCUAACGUCCGUCGUGAAGAGGGAAACAACCCAGACCGCCAGCUAAGGUCCCAAAGUCAUGGUUAAGUGGGAAACGAUGUGGGAAGGCCCAGACAGCCAGGAUGUUGGCUUAGAAGCAGCCAUCAUUUAAAGAAAGCGUAAUAGCUCACUGGUCGAGUCGGCCUGCGCGGAAGAUGUAACGGGGCUAAACCAUGCACCGAAGCUGCGGCAGCGACACUAUGUGUUGUUGGGUAGGGGAGCGUUCUGUAAGCCUGUGAAGGUGGCCUGUGAGGGUUGCUGGAGGUAUCAGAAGUGCGAAUGCUGACAUAAGUAACGAUAAAGCGGGUGAAAAGCCCGCUCGCCGGAAGACCAAGGGUUCCUGUCCAACGUUAAUCGGGGCAGGGUGAGUCGACC